UGGGGAAUAUUGCACAAUGGGCGCAAGCCUGAUGCAGCCAUGCCGCGUGUGUGAAGAAGGCCUUCGGGUUGUAAAGCACUUUCAGCGGGGAGGAAGGCGAUAAGGUUAAUAACCUUGUCGAUUGACGUUACCCGCAGAAGAAGCACCGGCUAACUCCGUGCCAGCAGCCGCGGUAAUACGGAGGGUGCAAGCGUUAAUCGGAAUUACUGGGCGUAAAGCGCACGCAGGCGGUCUGUCAAGUCGGAUGUGAAAUCCCCGGGCUUAACCUGGGAACUGCAUUCGAAACUGGCAGGCUAGAGUCUUGUAGAGGGGGGUAGAAUUCCAGGUGUAGCGGUGAAAUGCGUAGAGAUCUGGAGGAAUACCGGUGGCGAAGGCGGACCCCUGGACAAAGACUGACGCUCAGGUGCGAAAGCGUGGGGAGUAAACAGG
rnacentral:rRNA from 1 species